rnacentral:rRNA from 1 species
AUUGAACGCUGGCGGCAUGCCUUACACAUGCAAGUCGAACGGCAGCACGGGGCAACCUGGUGGCGAGUGGCGAACGGGUGAGUAAUGCAUCGGAACGUGCCAUUGAGUGGGGGAUAACGUAGCGAAAGUUGCGCUAAUACCGCAUAUUCUGUGAGCAGGGAAGCAGGGGAUCGCAAGACCUUGCGCUCUGGGAGCGGCCGAUGUCGGAUUAGCUAGUUGGUGGGGUAAAGGCCUACCAAGGCGACGAUCCGUAGCGGGUCUGAGAGGAUGAUCCGCCACACUGGGACUGAGACACGGCCCAGACUCCUACGGGAGGCAGCAGUGGGGAAUUUUUGGGACAAUGGGCGAAAGCCUGAUCCAGCCAUGCCGCGUGAGUGAAGAAGGCCUUCGGGUUGUAAAGACGUCUUUCUAGCCGGAAAGAAAUACGCGCAGGA